GAUGAACGCUGGCGGCGUGCCUAAUACAUGCAAGUCGAGCGAACGGACGAGAAGCUUGCUUCUCUGAUGUUAGCGGCGGACGUGUGAGUAACACGUGGAUAACCUACCUAUAAGACUGGGAUAACUUCGGGAAACCGGAGCUAAUACCGGAUAAUAUUUUGAACCGCAUGGUUCAAAAGUGAAAGACGGUCUUGCUGUCACUUAUAGAUGGAUCCGCGCUGCAUUAGCUAGUUGGUAAGGUAACGGCUUACCAAGGCAACGAUGCAUAGCCGACCUGAGAGGGUGAGCGGCCACACUGGAACUGAGACACGGUCCAGACUCCUACGGGAGGCAGCAGUAGGGAAUUUUCGGCAAUGGGCGAAAGCCUGACGGAGCAACGCCGCGUGAGUGAUGAAGGUCUUCGGAUCGUAAAACUCUGUUAUUAGGGAAGAAAAUAUGUGUAAGUAACUGUGCAGAUAUUGACGGUACCUAAUGAGAAAGCCACGGCUAACUACGUG
rnacentral:rRNA from 1 species